GAUGAACGCUGGCGGCGUGCCUAAUACAUGCAAGUCGAGCGAACAGACGAGGAGCUUGCUCCUCUGACGUUAGCGGCGGACGGGUGAGUAACACGUGGAUAACCUACCUAUAAGACUGGGAUAACUUCGGGAAACCGGAGCUAAUACCGGAUAAUAUAUUGAACCGCAUGGUUCAAUAGUGAAAGACGGUUUUGCUGUCACUUAUAGAUGGAUCCGCGCCGCAUUAGCUAGUUGGUAAGGUAACGGCUUACCAAGGCAACGAUGCGUAGCCGACCUGAGAGGGUGAUCGGCCACACUGGAACUGAGACACGGUCCAGACUCCUACGGGAGGCAGCAGUAGGGAAUCUUCCGCAAUGGGCGAAAGCCUGACGGAGCAACGCCGCGUGAGUGAUGAAGGUCUGCGGAUCGUAAAACGCUGUUAUUAGGGAAGAACAAAUGUGUAAGUAACGAUGCACGUCUUGACGGUACCUAAUCAGAAAGCCACGGCUAACUACGU
rnacentral:rRNA from 1 species